AUGGUGCUUACGCACAAGGAGGAGGGCGACGACUGCUAUCUCCCGCCGCCGGUGGUCAUCGGGCCCGACGAGGACGGUGUGAGAAAGGUUAUCGAGUACCGCAUAGAAGAGGGCAUGGUUCUAAAGGUGACCACGACCACCCGCUCCCGCUCUAAACUCGCCGCCAAGGAGCACCGCUCGUGGGCCAGGUUCGGCGACGCCACCGACGACGACGCCACCUUCCGCUCACGUAAUCCUCCGCACCCAAACGUGUUCUCCUCCCAGGAAGUCUUUCUCGAUCGCCCUGGGAUUGGCAGCAGAGCUGCAAGAGGCGAUGGUUCCGUGGUUUGCAGGACCUGCAAGAAGGGCUACCACUGGACGUCAAGGUGCCCAUACAGUGACCUUUAUUCCCAGCUGGAAGCCUUGGAUGAGCAGCCGAAACCCGCGUGUGAAGGAGGUCGCUCCGCCGCAUACGUUCCUCCAAAGUUGAAGCCUGGGGGCGGUGACAACAUGAGGCGGAGGAACCACGACAACACCGUCCGCGUGGACAAUCUUUCGGAGAAAGUCCGUGAUCCAGACCUUCUGGAGCUGUUUGCCGCGGUUGGCCCGGUUCGCCGUGCACAUCAAGGGUUUGGAUUCGUAGAGUUCGUCCGCAGAGCAGAUGCUGAAAGGGCUAUCCACACCCUCGAUCGUUACGGCUACGAUCACCUCAUCAUCCGUGUGGAGCGACCAGAACGACGCGUCGCCUGA
rnacentral:rRNA from 1 species